ACCGUGUAGAAAAGCGGCUUAUAAGAAACCUUCGUGUGCGAGUGAACCGAUAGCCUAAGCUCACAUGAGCCUGGACUGUUUACAUAUUUCCCCUCAGGGAUCGUCCGGUAGCCGAUUUAGUUUGAAGCUGCAUCCAUUUACGUUGUUGCCAUCGGGUGGAAACCGUGCCGCCUGUUGAUGGAUUCCAGUUCCAUUCGAUGCACAUCAUCGGUCUUUCCAGGUUGUGAAUAUUUCAUAUCGUUAUUUUGCUUCUGUAAACAAUUUUCCUUUCGGUGUGUGCGUUGUGUGAUGGAUUCCCGCAGUGAGGAGCUAUUUUGAUCCGUUGUGGAUAAGCACUGUACAAUGAUUUGGAGAUAUUUUUGUGAGGGUCCUAUCGAUAUUGCACUCAGGCUUCUUAUAGGUUGAAAAUCGAUCUGUUGGUAUUGGAAUCUAUCUCCAAAGAAAUUCUUUCAUAAAAACGAUCCCAGUUAACGAUUCCAUGCAUUCGAUGCUUUAUGUUUUAUUUUUGUUAGACAGUAAUAGAAACCAAGCUGUUCUUAAAAAUAACCCGUUUGCUUUAGGUUUUUUUAUUAUACAAUCACAAAAUUCGUUCGCAAACUUCAUGUUAACUACUUCAUCCAAUUAUUUAAUCAUGAUGAUUUGGAUGUUCCUAGCCCAUUGGCAAUUACCACGUAAGCGGUAGCAACUGGCCAAUAUCUACAAUCCUCAUCAUCAAACUGUGGUUUUAAUGUCUGAUGGUUAUUCCCGAAACGUACCGCAACCAAGCCGAGCCAGAUUCCUGCCAAAGGAUGUUUGCAUACGCGGCUGUAAAAUAACGUUCCCAUCCAUAUGCUGGGUGCACGAGGUGAAAUCUAGCGCAAUAAAAGAUUCAAGAUGUACCAUCGAUGUCAUCUGUUGUACAAAACGGACGCCUAGGCUAGGAAACUUCACAGGAUAUCCUGCCCUUGGAAUUAACGCAUUAUGCGGCUGAGGCUGGGGUCGGAAAACUUCAAUAAAAUUUGUCUCCACGA